GAUGAACGCUGGCGGCGUGCCUAAUACAUGCAAGUCGAGCGAACAGACGAGGAUCUUGCGCCUCUGUCGUUAGCGGCGGACGGGUGAGUAACGCGUGUAUAACCUACCUAUAAGACUGGGAUAAUUACGGAAAACCGGAGCUAAUACGGGAUAAUAUAUUGAACCGUAUGGUUGAAUGGUGAAAUACGGUUUUUCUGUCACUUAUAGAUGGAUCCCCGCCGCAUUAGCUGGUUGGUAAGUUAACGGGUUACGAAGGCAAGGAGGCGUAGACGACCUGACAGGGUGGUAGGCGACACGAGAGGUGGGACACGGUCCAGACUCCUACGGGAGGCAGCAGUAGGGAAUCUUCCGCAAUGGGCGAAAGCCUGACGGAGCAGCGCGGCGUGAGUGAUGAAGGCCUUGGGAUCGUAAAACUCGGUUAUGGGGGAAGAACAAAUGUGUAAGUAACUAUGCACGUAUUGACGGUACCUGAUAAGAAAGCCCCGGCUAACUACGUG
rnacentral:rRNA from 1 species